GUGUUUUUUUCAGCAGUACAUAUACUAAAAUUGAAACAAUACAGAGAAAAUUAGUGUGGUCCCUGUGCUCACAUGCAAAUUUGUGAAUCAUUCCUUAUUUGA
ensembl:snRNA U6 U6 spliceosomal RNA